AUCCACAGCCAUAUCACCCUGCAGCCCAAGACCGGUUACUCACUGAAGCUAAGCAGGGCUGAGCCUGGUCAGUACCUGGAUGGGAGACCACUAGGGAACACUAGGUUGCUGUUGGAA
rnacentral:rRNA from 1 species